rnacentral:rRNA from 1 species
UGAUGACGAGACGCUAAGGCGUUGAAGCAGUGUAUGUCAGACUUCCAAGAAAAGCUCGCAAUGUCACAAAUAAAAUGCCUGCACCAUAACCGACACAGGUGGGUAGGUAGAGUAUACUAAGGGGCGCGAGAUAACUCUCUCUAGGAACUCGGCAAAAGGACUCCGUAACUUCGGGAGAAGGAGUGCCUUAUUUAUAAGGUUGCAAUAACAAGAUCCAAGCAACUGUUUAUCAAAAACACAGGUCUCCGCUAAGUCGUAAGACGAUGUAUGGGGGCUGACGCCUGCCCAGUGCCAGAAGGUUAAAGAAGUUGGUUAGUGUAUGCGAAGCUGAUGACUGAAGCCCUGGUGAACGGCGGCCGUAACUAUAACGGUCCUAAGGUAGCGAAAUUCCUUGUCGGGUAAGUUCCGACCCGCACGAAAGGCGUAAUGAUUUGGAUACUGUCUCGGAGAGAGGCUCGGUGAAAUAGACUUGUCUGUGAAGAUGCGGACUACCUGCACCAGGACAGAAAGACCCUAUGAAGCUUUACUGUAACUUGAAAUUGGAAUUGGACUUUGCUUGCGCAGUAUAGGUGGGAAGCGUUGAAAAUAUUCUUGCGGGAGUAUUGGAGCUAUCAGUGAGAUACCACUCUUGUAAUGUUAGAUUUCUAACUUUGAACCAUAAUCUGGUCAAAGAACAGUUUCAGGUGGGCAGUUUGACUGGGGCGGUCGCCUCCCAAAUGGUAACGGAGGCGUACAAAGGUUUCCUCUGAACGGAUAGAAAUCGUAUCUAGAGUGUAAAGGCAUAAGGAAGCUUGACUGUGAGACCUACAAGUCGAGCAGGGACGAAAGUCGGUCUUAGUGAUCUGACGGUACUGAGUGGAAAGGCCGUCACUCAACGGAUAAAAGUUACUCUAAGGAUAACAGGCUGAUCUCCCCCAAGAGUUCACAUCGACGGGGAGGUUUGGCACCUCGAUGUCGGCUCAUCGCAUCCUGGGGCGGUAGUACGUCCCAAGGGUUGGGCUGUUCGCCCAUGAAAGCGGUACGCGAGCUGGGUUCAGAACGUCGUGAGACAGUUCGGUCCAUAUCCGGUGUAGGCGCUAGAAUAUUGAGAGGAGCCUUCUUUAGUACGAGAGGACCGAGAAGGACACACCGCUGGUGUACCAGUUAUCGUGCCAACGGUAAACGCUGGGUAGCUAUGUGUGGAGUGGAUAACCGCUGAAAGCAUCUAAGUGGGAAGCCCACCUCGAGAUGAG